rnacentral:rRNA from 1 species
GACGAACGCUGGCGGCGUGCUUAACACAUGCAAGUCGAACGGAAAGGCCCUGCUUUUGUGGGGUGCUCGAGUGGCGAACGGGUGAGUAACACGUGAGUAACCUGCCCUUGACUUUGGGAUAACUUCAGGAAACUGGGGCUAAUACCGGAUAGGAGCUCCUGCUGCAUGGUGGGGGUUGGAAAGUUUCGGCGGUUGGGGAUGGACUCGCGGCUUAUCAGCUUGUUGGUGGGGUAGUGGCUUACCAAGGCUUUGACGGGUAGCCGGCCUGAGAGGGUGACCGGCCACAUUGGGACUGAGAUACGGCCCAGACUCCUACGGGAGGCAGCAGUGGGUAAUAUUGCACAAUGGGCGGAAGCCUGAUGCAGCCACGCCGCGUGCGGGAUGACGGCCUUCGGGUUGUAAACCGCUUUCGCCUGUGACGAAGCGUGAGUGACGGUAAUGGGUAAAGAAGCACCGGCUAACUACGUG